rnacentral:tRNA from 1 species
GCCCGGGUGGCUCAGUCGGUUGAGCGUCAGACUCUUGGUUUGGGCUCUGGUCGUGAUCCCAGGGUCGUGGGAUUAAGCCCUACAUCGGGCU